rnacentral:lncRNA from 1 species
UACUUUUUUACAAUCAGAUAAAUCCAAAUGUUAGCCAGAAUUGGUCCCAUAGCCAUAAAAUUUAGUAUAAUACUCGGAUUCAUAUGCUUGCCUCUAAAAUUUCAGAGAUUUGGUAUUGCUGUUAGUUUAAUGAGUUUCUCUUAAAAUUGAGCAACUUGGCUAGAGAAAACUUAUUAAUUUAGAGUUUAUAAUAUAAGCGCAAUUGAAGAAACUCAUAGUAUGAAUCAUGUCAUCAAAAUUUGUAAAUCUCUUUUGAAGUUGUGACUUUAUUUCUACUACAGUCAUAUGAUACUUCAAAAUCUGUGAUUCCAUGAAGCCAAGAGUAGCUCUUCAACAGGAAAUGAAUGAGUGCUUCAGCUUCUGAUCCCAUUAGUAAGAAAAUACAGUCUUAUGAGCAAUGAUGGAGCUGCAUCUCUUAGGGGCAUUUGAUUCCCAAGAGACCAAAGAGCAAAGAGAAUGUCAAUUUAAAAAAAUCAAAUGUUUCCAUGACUUAGCUAUUUAACUGCUUUAAAAUGAAUGAAUGCUGCUUCAAGUUCUUUCAAAUACCCCACAUCUUGGCAACAACGAAAGGAAUUAACAUGAAGAAAAUUUACAAUCUUUCAUCACAUCGAACAAUGUCCCACAUUUGAAAAGUUCACAGCACAGAUUUCUGGUUACUGAAAGAAAGGAAAGACCUUCUUUGGAUUUGAAUAAACAGAUGGACUUUCU